rnacentral:rRNA from 1 species
GAUGAACGCUAGCUACAGGCUUAACACAUGCAAGUCGAGGGACAGGCGCCCGGGUGAGUAACACGUAUCCAAACUGCCCUUUACUCGGGGAUAGCCUUUCGAAAGAAAGAUUAAUACCCGAUAUAAAGGAUGGGGAUGCGUUCCAUUAGGUUGUUGGUGUGGUAACGGCCAACCAAGCCUUCGAUGGAUAGGGGUUCUGAGAGGAAGGUCCCCCACAGUGUAACUGAGACACGGUCCAAACUCAUACGGGAGGCAGCAGGGAGGAAUAUUGGUCAAUGGGCGGUAGCCUGAACCAGCCAAGUAGCGUGAAGGAUGAAGGCUUAUGGGUCGUAAACUUCUUUUAUAUAAGAAUAUGUAUUAUAUGAAUAAGGAUCGGCUAACUACGUGCCAGCAGCCGCGGUAAUAC